CCUACGGGCGGCAGCAGUGAGGAAUAUUGGUCAAUGGACGCAAGUCUGAACCAGCCAUGCCGCGUGCAGGAAGACGGCUCUAUGAGUUGUAAACUGCUUUUGUACGAGGGUAAACGCAGAUACGCGUAUCUGUCUGAAAGUAUCGUACGAAUAAGGAUCGGCUAACUCCGUGCCAGCAGCCGCGGUAAUACGGAGGAUUCAAGCGUUAUCCGGAUUUAUUGGGUUUAAAGGGUGCGUAGGCGGUCGGAUAAGUUAGAGGUGAAAUCCCGAGGCUCAACUUCGGAAUUGCCUCUGAUACUGUUCGGCUAGAGAGUAGUUGCGGUAGGCGGAAUGUAUGGUGUAGCUGUGAAAUGCUUAGAGAUCAUACAGAACACCGAUUGCGAAGGCAGCUUACCAAGCUACUUCUGACGUUGAGGCACGAAAGCGUGGGGAGCAAACAGGAUUAGAUACCCUUGUAGUC
rnacentral:rRNA from 1 species